rnacentral:tRNA from 1 species
GGAGAGGUGCGAGAGUGGUUGAAUCGGACAGUUUCGAAAACUGUUUUGGGGAGUUUUCCUCAACGUGGGUUCGAAUCCCACCCUCUCCG